rnacentral:lncRNA from 1 species
GUGGAGUUAAGCAUAGCCCAGAUGAAAUAAGGCAAAAUUACAUGACAAAAUUACUGGCUGGGAAAUAGACAUGAUAGCAUAGAGGACAGAUAUUAGCCAAUAUUGGGUGUUGAUUAAGAUUUAUUACAAAUAUAAAAGUUGUGUGUGUUUUACCUGGAAAAGAAAUGUCCAAGGCUGGGGUGGAAACCCUGGUUUGGGACUGCAAUACCUUAGACAUUUUAUCACAACAACAAAAAGGCACUAAUACUCACCAACAGUGUUUCAUACCUGAAUGAGUUAUUGCAUGGACUUAAAGUGAAAUGUGAAUUCUAAACCAGUUACCUCAUCAAUGAACCUCAUAAAGCUUUUGUCCCUAUGAGUUUCCAGGUAGGAACAAAACAGAGACAUCAUCAUGCUUGAGCAGAUAGUUGACAGUUGCUAAAGGUUUUCUCAAGAAUAAAUAAUGUUGUGUAAAUUAAUAUAAAUGGGUUGGCCCAAGAUGGAACCAUGUCCGUCAGAGUCAUAGAUUGCCUUAUUUUUGAGUUCUUUAAAGUCCUAAAAGAUUAUUGUGACAUGCAAACUUUAACCGAUCCAGUACAUGCUAAAGGUUUAUUCACACAUACAGAUAUUGUGAAGUACAAAUAUUUCCACAGUGGCUCCAUUUACAGGGUUACCCUGCAGCAUGGAGUUUUCUCAAGAAAAAACGACUGGUCCACACACAAGCUUUACCACAUUCCUUAUUUUUAUGAGGUUUCUUACAAGUCUAUGUUAAGUUAUACAUUAUGAGAUGAAUGUCAAUGUCAACUGCAGAGGCCUUACCACAUUAUUCACACACAGUUUCUCUCUCCAGUGUCUUCUUUUAUGUAUUCUGAGAUAUAUCAUGUGCUCUUUUAUGCAUUCAAAGAUAACUGUGAUAUGCAAAGGUUUACCACAUUGUGUAUAUUUAUACAGUCUCUCUGUAUCUCUCUCUGUCUCUCUCUCUCCUGUAUGUGCUCCUUGCUGCAUUAGGAGAUAACUGCUUGGCAUAGACUUUUCCACAUUGCUUAUACUCAGAAGGAUUCUGGCCCCUACAAAUAUGUUCAUGACGAUUAAGACUAUGAUCACAUUCACAGUCUUUCUCUUCAGUAUGUUCACUUAUACAUUCAGAAAUGAUGGCGUUAUAAAAAGGUUGCUCACAUCCAUUUCCUUCAUAACUUUUUUUUCCAAUGUGGAUUCUUUUAUUCUUUUAAAGAUGACCAUGUCUUGAAAAGACUUACACACACAAUGAAUAAACUUGUAAGGUUUCUCUCUAGUAUGUCUUCUCUCAUGACUUUGUAGAUUAUAAUGGUGGGAAAAAGUUUAAUCACAUUCCUUACAUUUGAAGGGUUUCUCUCUGGUAUGUGUUCUUUUAUGAACUUGAAGAGUACUGUGUCGUGAAAAGGCUUUAUCACAUUCAUUACAUUUGUAGGGUUUCUCUCCAGUAUGUGUUCUUCUAUGAGUUUGAAGAGUACUGGGUUGUGAAAAGGCUUUAUCACAUUCAUUGCAUUUGUAGGGUUUCUCUCCAGUAUGUUUUCUACUAUGAAUCUGAAGAUUUCUGUGUCGUAAAAAGGCUUUGUCACAUUGAUUACAUUUGUAAGGCAUCUCUCUAGUAUGUGUUCUUAUAUGAUUUUGGAGUUGAAAGUGUUGUGAAAAGGCUUUAUCACUUUGAUUACAUUUGUAAGGCUUCUCUCCAGUAUGUGUUCUUUUAUGAUUUUGGAGGUAAGUGUUUUGAAAAGGUUUUAUCACAUUCAUUACAUUUGAAGGGUUUCUCUCUUAUAUGUGUACUUCUAUGAAUUUGGAGAUGAAUAAAUUGGGAAAAGGCUUUAUCACAUUCAUUACAUUUGUAGGGUUUCUCUACAGUAUGUGUUCUUCUAUGAAUGUGCAGAUUACUGUAUUGGGAAAAGGCUUUAUCACAUUGAUUACAUUAGUAGGGUUUUUCUCCAGGAUGUAUCCUUGUAUGUGUUUGGAGAUGACGAUUCUCAGAAAAGGCUUUAUCACAUUGAUUACAUUUGAACGGUUUCUCUCCUGUAUGUCUUCUUCUAUGAAUUUGAAGAUAACUGUGUUGUGAAAAGGCUGUCACAUUGAUUACAUUUGUACGGCUUCUCUCCAGUAUGUGUUCUUUUAUGAUUUUGGAAGCAAAAUUGUGUUGAAAACGGUUUAUCACAUUCAAUACAUUUGAAGGUUUUCUAUCCAGUAUGUAUUCUUCUAUGAAAAUAGAGAUGACCGUAUUGGGAAAAGGCUUUAUCACAUUGAUUACAUUUGUAGGGUUUUUCUCCAGUAUGUAUUCUUAUAUGUGUUUGGAGACUACGUUUCUGGGAGAAGGCUUUAUCACAUUGAUUACAUUUGUAGGGUUUAUCUCCAGUAUGUGUUUUUAUAUGAAUUUGGAGAUUACCAAAUUGGGAAAAGGCUUUAUCACAUUCAUUACAUUUGAAGGGUUUC